UACGUAGGGACCAAGCGUUGUCCGGAAUCAUUGGGCGUAAAGAGCGUGUAGGCGGCUUGUUAAGUCUUGCGUGAAAUCUCGGGGCUCAACCCCGAGCGGUCGUGAGAAACUGGCAGGCUAGAGUGCGGGAGAGGAGAGUGGAAUUCCUGGUGUAGCGGUGAAAUGCGCAGAUAUCAGGAGAACACCCGUGGCGAAGGCAGGCCCUGGCUGGACGAUGACGCGUGAGGACGAAAGCGUGGGGAGCAAACAGG
rnacentral:rRNA from 1 species